GAAAUGCGAUAAGUAAUGUGAAUUGCAGAAUUCAGUGAAUCAUCGAAUCUUUGAACGCACCUUGCGCCCCUUGGUAUUCCUUGGAGCAUGCCUGUUUGAGUAUCAUGAAAUCUUCAAAGUAAAUCUUUUGUUAACUCAAUUGGUUUCUACUUUGGUAUUGGAGGUCUUUGCAGCUUCACACCCGCUCCUCUUUGUUCAUUAGCUGGAUCUCAGUGUUAUGCUUGGUUCCACUCGGCGUGAUAAGUUAUCUAUCGCUGAGGACACUGUAAAAGGUGGCCAAGGUAAAUGCAGAUGAACCGCUUCUAAUAGUCCAUUGACUUGGACAAUACUUUUAUGAUCUGAUCUCAAAUCAGGUAGGACUACCCGCUGAACUUAAGC
rnacentral:misc_RNA from 1 species